AAGUGUUGAUGGCAAGUUAAGUAGAAUGAGGUAAAUGAAAUGAGCACUAGAUUUUGAAAUGUGGAGGUCAUUGACACAUGAUGAGAGCAGUUUUAGUAGCAUUGGGAGAAAGCCUAUUGGAGUGGGUUCAACAAGUAAUCAGAGGAGAAGAACUGUAGACAGUGGAUAGAAAUGAUGUUAUGGGAGACUCAGAGAAAAUUAUUUGCAGCAAUGUCCUUGAGAAGGCAAGAUUGCCUCAAGUCUAGUGUCCAAUGAAGAGAUGGCUCAGGGAGGGAUUAACAGAUCCUCUAACACUGGUGAGAGCAGAGGACAUGGGAGUAGAUGUAGGUGUGAUGGUAGAUAUGGUGGCAGGUGGUUUUGCAAGUUCUCUUCUCACUGAUUAAAUUUGCUCAGAAUAAUAAUAAAGCAGGUUAUAAGAUAAGAGUAAAGAAGGAGUUGACAGCAUUUGGAGGUUUGCAGAGAAAGAAGUUGUGAAGUACUAAGUUACAAUAUGUUCCAGUGCCUCUCAUUGUCUCUGAGCCAAGAGACCUGAUGUGACCUACUUUGCUCAGCCGGGUGGUGUUGUAGACAGACAGAAGAGCCAGCACAUUCUGCAGGAAGCAGAGGAUGAGGAGCCUGCUGAUCUGACUGGCCGAUGUCACAAUGCACAGAAAAGGCCAACCUUUCACAGAAUUCCAGCAUUCGAGGGAACUUUCUAACACAUUGCCAAUGUU